rnacentral:rRNA from 1 species
UACGUAAGGUGCAAACGUUGUUCGGAAUCACUGGGCAUAAAGAGCACGUAGGCGGUCGGGUAAGUCCGCAUGUGAAAUCCCUCGGCUCAACCGAGGAAUUGCAUCGGAUACUGCCUGACUAGAGUGCAGCAGGGGAGAGUGGAAUUCCAGGUGGAGCGGUGAAAUGCGUAGAUAUCUGGAGGAACGCCGGUGGCGAAAGCGACUCUCUGGGCUGUAACUAACGCUGAGGUGCGAAAGCCAGGGGAGCAAACGGG